rnacentral:rRNA from 1 species
CCUACGGGAGGCAGCAGUGGGGAAUAUUGGACAAUGGGGGGAACCCUGAUCCAGCGCCGCCGCGUGAGUGAAGAAGUAUUUCGGUAUGUAAAGCUCUAUCAGCAGGGAAGAAAGAAAUGACGGUACCUGACUAAGAAGCCCCGGCUAACUACGUGCCAGCAGCCGCGGUAAGACGUAGGGGGCAAGCGUUAUCCGGCUUUACUGGGUGUAAAGGGAGCGUAGACGGCGAUGCAAGUCUGAAGUGAAAGGCGGGGGCCCAACCCCCGGACUGCUUGGGAAACUGUAUGGCUGGAGUGCAGGAGAGGUAAGUGGAAUUCCUAGUGUAGCGGUGAAAUGCGUAGAUAUUAGGAGGAACACCAGUGGCGAAGGCGGCUUACUGGACUGUAACUGACGUUGAGGCUCGAAAGCGUGGGGAGCAAACAGGAUUAGAUACCCCUGUAGUC